UGGAUGUGAUCGGGUGUAAAAAGCUAUCCACGAAGAAUCGCUUUGUACUCCGAUGCCAUUCAGA
rnacentral:pre_miRNA from 1 species